rnacentral:rRNA from 1 species
AUGCGGUAUGACGGUACCCUUUCGAAUAAGAGGUUGCUAACUCUGUGCCAGCAGCAGCGGUAAUACAGAGACCUCGAGCGUUAUCCGGAUUUACUGGGCGUAAAGCGUCUGUAGGGGGUUUGUUAAGUUCCAAGUAAAAUCUUAAGGCUCAACUUUAAGUUCGCUUGGAAAACUAAUAAACUGGAGUCCAGCAGAGGUGCAUGGAACUUGCGGUGUAGGAGUGAAAUCCGUUGAUAUCGCAAGGAACACCAAAGGCGAAGGCAUUGCACUGGGCUGGUACUGACCCUGAGAGACGAAAGCGUGGGGAGCAAAACGGAUUAGAUACCCGUGUAGUCCACGCCGUAAACGAUGGAUACUAGAUGUUCGGGGAUUCGACCCCCUGGGUGUCACAGCUAACGCGUUAAGUAUCCCGCCUGGGAAGUACGGCCGCAAGGCUAAAACUCAAAGGAAUAGACGGGGAUCCGCACAAGCGGUGGAGCGUCUGGUUUAAUUUGAUAGUAAGCAAUGGACCUCACCAAGGUUUGACAUCCUAUGACAACCCUGGAAACAGGGCUUCCUUCGGGCAUAGUGACAGGUGCUGCAUGGUCGUCGUCAGUUCGUGCCGUGAGGUGUUCCGUUAAGUCGGCAAACGAACGAAACCCUCGUGGCAUGUUACAAAUUUCAUGCGAGACUGCCCGGGUCAACCGGGAGGAAGUCGGGGAUGAGGUCAGAUCAGCAUGGUCCUUAUACCUUG